UGAAAUUUAAACAUAAUAUGUUGUUAUUUUAUUCAAAAAACAAACAAAAGAUACAAACUUUGAUAAUACAAUGAACAUGCUCUAAGCUUGUCAAUGAAAGAGGGUGACAAACAUAGUAUUAUUGUUUUCUUUUCACAAAAUAACUCAACAAUUUUACAAUAAGGUGUUAUGCUACCCACAAUGACACCCAUCUCGAGUGCACUUCAAGACUUCAGGAGGGAUGCACUCAUAAGCUGAAAAAUUAAUAUCAAAAGUAAUCAAACAAAAUAAAGUAAUGUAAAAUAAAAUAAAAACAUUGUUACUCUAAAAAAGAAAUUCUAAAAGGGAAAAAAAGAGUUAACUUCCUCGAGCACCUUCACAUCGACACCCAUCCUGAGUGCACUUCAAGACUCCAGGAGGGAUACAACCAUGACCUAGAAAAUAAAUGUCAAAAGUAAUAAAGAAUGUUACUCAAAUGAGAUGAAUGAUUGCGUUUAAAGUAAAAAAAAAAAAAAAAAAAAAGGGCUAACUCCCGUUUGCACCUUCACAUCGACACCCAUUCUCAGUGCACCUCAUGACUCUAGAAGAGAUACACUCAUGAGCUGGAAAAUAAACGUUAACACAAAAUG
rnacentral:lncRNA from 1 species